GUGUAGUUAGCCAUACAUCUACAAAUGAAUAACCACAGAGAAUCAAAGAGAAGGAACCAACUAAGCAGAUUCACUUGAGAGGUUGUGAUGAGUGAAAGAAGAAAGGUUCUGAAAUGCACUGCACAGUGAUGGGCACCAAGAGCAGUUCUACUGUAGGAGCUGUUCUGAUCAGUAUCACCCAGUUCUUCAGAUGUUUUGAUUUUCCACAUUUUGAGCACCAGAACAGGUCCAGAAAUAUUGGGGCACUGUUACCAAGUGAGGCUGACGUUGUUUCAAGAUAAACAACGUACUUUUUGUUUGUUGCAGACUACUCAAUUUAUUUUGCUAAAAUAUUAAGUUCAUUGUAUCUGUCGGGGGAUUAGGUUAUGCUGAAGUAACAAACUACCCCAAACAUCUGUGACUUUAUUCUCAUGCUACACAUCCAUCCAUAAUGUGAAAAAAAAAAAAAAAGAUAUUUCAGGGUCUUUCCUUGCUUCCUCCCAUCUUAGAGCUGCUUUUGGCAACCCAGUGCUCACAGUAUGCGCAAGUAGGCACCAUGAAAUUCAGGUAAAACAGCAGCUUCUAGAAACUGCUCCACCCUAAUUCCAAGAGACCUUGAGUACCAUGCUAGAGAGCCCAUCCUUCUGUUACCUGUGGGGAAACUCUUGCUACAGAGAGGAGUUACAGCCCUGAGCUGCCUGCCUUAUUAAAAAGCACACUUCUGCUCUAGGCAAAAGACAGUCUGGUCUUGCUUUCCUCACUUAAUAGGACGCCAGCCUUCACCGGCUUUAUCUGUUGUGGUUUGUGGGGGCAGAAUCCCAGGUUUCAACGGUGUUGCUAGGUGUGUGGUAGGUCUGCCUCCACUUGGAGUUUCUCUUUGCUCCACUUUCAAGGUGAACUGCAAAUAUGAGGCUGUUUGGACCUAAGUCAGGAGGGUUUGGGGAAAAGAAAGCAAAACAUCAUUUUGAUUUAUCAGUUGCUUAGUAAGUAGCUACUGACCAGGAAUCUGCCACUUGUUUUGACUAAUAUAAGCCAAAAAAUACAAUUGAAACUGGUUUAUGAGUGUAGAUAUCAUCUCAGUUUUUUUAAGGCCCACGAAUAAAAUCUAAUCUCUUAAAGUGUGUACCUAUUUGUAAAGAAACAUAAAUAUUUGAUCAAAACUUGAAAUGUGCCUAAUUUUGCAACUCAAAUUCCAAACUAGUUGAAACCUCAUUCCUUAGAAUUUGUUUUAAUAACACCGCUCCUCCUUGCUCCAGCUUGGACUCGCUUCCUUCUUCCUUUCCCUUUUCUGCAAUACUGAAAUGGGCUUAUGUAUUUAUUAGCAGAGUCCAUUUAAACCCAGGAAGGUCGAUGCUUUUUUUGGAACAGCUUGAAUAAAAAAUAAAACAUAAUCUUUG
rnacentral:lncRNA from 1 species